GAAGAAAUGAAAACUGUAGCACCAGGUUUAUCAAGACAAGCUUUUUUGUGGAUGUUGGAGAGGAGGACCUGUCUCUUUGGAAGGAUAAUCUGGAGUGGCAAAAAUAAGGAAGGUGCUGGCCCAACUGCUGUGGAGGAGGUGGAAAGGGUAAACAGCUACCUGUCUUGUUGUGCCCUCACAAUGAAGUACAUGACAAAAUCUGGAAUGAAAUGCUAACUGUCCAUGCUAUUGGGUGGAACCGACGGAAGCAGGAAGACCUUCAUCUUGCAAUAUCCAGCAGAUACAUCAAGAAACUGGAGGAUUUGAGCAGUGAACUGGGGUGUCCUGAGAACAUUGUGCAUCAGUUCAGUAGGUACCAGAUGUGAUGACCAACAUAACCAUCAGAAUUCAACUGAACAGAUGUUUCUUGGUGUUCAUAAAAAGCCAGCCUCCACUCCUAUACAGAAAGCUGGACAAGCAGUACAUCAACACAUCUAUCCUUUGAUUUGGCUGCACUGCAGUGGGAGCAGAACAGCCUCCUUGCACAACUUCAUCUGUUAAAUACAGGGAAACAUUUAAAAUAUGUAAAAAGUAUUUAAGGACAGUUUAUAAUGAAGGGCUUUAUUUGUAAAAAUGUCUUUCCGUGAACAAUUAAAACUUUGUUUCAGGGAUUGAAGGCAGCACACGGUGAGCACUUGAUACAUGAAUUAUGCAUUAUGGGUGAAUUAUUCCUUUAAGGAUAAACAGGUUCUGCCAUUAGCAGGCUAAAGCCACUGAAGGACUGGUACAGUCAGUUUGGAAUAAUGUCAUCACAGUGAAGUAAUCACAGCUGAAAAUAGCCUAUCAAUCCACAACUUUAUAACCAGGGGUGCACAUAACUGGU